CUGAAUCCAAAUACCACAUGGUUGAUUGAGGUUCUUCUUUGUUAAGGCAUGUCAUCAAAAGUAUUUCUUCCUCCAAUUCUACAAAAUUAGAAUUCUGCUCCUUUUCUAACUUUAAGUUGGCAGUGCAUUCAUACUUAUAAUGGCCAUAACCAUGACAACAGAUUAUCAUCAAUGUUCGGACGUGUCAAAACUGGUAUUAGACUGAAUGAGGACUGAUCAUUGAGUCCUCAUUCCUUGACCGAAUGAGGAUUGACAUUGCAUUCCGUUGCCUAUUCCUCUUGCCACCACUCCAGCCACGGCCUCGGCUUGAAUCCUUCCAUGUAGAUGAUUUCUCCAUGAGUGACCACCUUCAAAAGUUUGUUCUGUACAGGAGGAGAGGAUUCAUUCUCUGCCAUGAAGUAGCAAAGAACCUUCUAGUUCAUCAAUGGACAUUUAUCAAUCGCCGUGGGAUGGGAUUCUUUCAAUGAGGCAAACCAAAUAUACAAAUUUAGACUACAUGGACCGCUAAUCUUUUCGACUACGGAAACAUCUUCAAGUCUUCACCAUGAAUCCGGCAUCUUGUUUUCUAUUGUCAGCGUUUAGCAGCCAAAAAGAUUCAUAACAGAUUUGCCCCUCCUUAAUUUGGAGAAUCUCAAACUCUCCUACGAAGAGCUUGAAGUUGUGUUGUUCCGCUUUCACCCUUGCUAGCCGGAUACUUAUCUCAUAGAAUCCCAUAUCUGUUUUGAAAGAAUAGUCUCCAAAAAUGGCUGAUCAAUUGCUUGAAACAAAUUAGUUUUGCCUUGCGAUCCUUCAGCUCUUGGUCUUCAAAAUUUUCUGUAUGAUCGUCAGUCAACACAGCUAAGCUUGCAUUACACACAAUACCAGGAUCAACAACUGGCCCAAAAUCCUUCGAUCCAGGAAGUUCUCCAUUAAAUGCUCCAAUGGCUAUUUGCACAAAAUUGUUGUGUGUUGGUGGAUUUGCCAUCAAUUCUUGCCUUGCUUCAAGGAGUAAGAAGAGCUACUUCUUUUCUACCUAAUUAGGCCUAACCAAUUAUACAAGCAAAUUGUAGGGCAGUCUUAUUAUGCAACUUCAACUAGGCUAGAUAUCAUUGCAUGUUGUUUGUGAGUUUAAUUAGUAGGUAUAUGGAGAAUCCGACUCUAAGUCAUCUCUUGGUUGCAAAUAUGAUUUUCGUAUUUGAAAGGGGUACUACUUGAUCUUGGAAUCAUAUAAACGAGGCGAGCAAGCUUGUGGUUUUUAGUAGUGUUAUGCUGGAGAUCUAAUAUGAUAGAAAAAUAGUACAUCUGGAUUUGCGUUCAGAUUGAGUUCUGGGCUGUUCAUGGUUAAUAAAAAAAAAAACCAAUAGUGCAUAUCGACCCACCAAAGCUGAGGUUGUUGCUGCAGGCAUCCGGGUCAUGUCAAGCCAUUUGGGUGUGUGUUUGUGAGCGUUACUUGAGUACUGCACAAUCAUCAGCAAGGGGAAACUUUAGUUUAUUGUGACAAUGUUUCAUGCAAUAAAAGCUUUCAAGAAAUCAGGUUCUAAUGGAAGGAGCAAACCCAUUGAGUGCAGAUACCACUUCUUGCGUGAUCUUGUUAAGGGAUGAUAUAUUUAUAGACUUGGUGUUCUAUAAAGAGUGGAGAUCAGAUUGCAGGACAUAUUGGACUAGCCCCUCAAGCCUGUUAUGAUUCUGAAGCUUAGAAGACUGAUUGGAGUAAUGUUCAAAGACGGAUGUUGAAGCUUCAUGUAAUUGAUGUCCUAAUGUAAGGUUUCAUUUUUUUUUUCAUUGCAAAUUUAUAAAUUUAAUUAGGCCACAAUGUGGAUUAGUGGACCUACGUUUUUUUUUUUUGGUUAUUGGGCACAUUGGAGAAAGAUUUGGACUUAAUGUAAUUGAAGUUGGGCUAUAGUGAAUUUGGGUUUAAUAUUGGAUCCAAAAUUAGAAAUUAAUUUGGUGUAAACCAACAAAGCCUUAGAGCUCCUCCGUUGGGAUCCCUUACCGUUUGAAUUUCCCCCCAAGUACACUUAUCCCCACAUCUUCUUUCCCCAACAUCAUCAUCCCAGCAGCAAUCAUUAUGUUUUCGUUUCUUGUCUCUUUCUUUUUUUUAAUCACAGUCUUUCCUCUCUUGUCUAUACGACUCUCCUCUCUCCGUCUCUCUCCUCCCUACUCUCCCCUCUACCUCGCUCCGGUCCUCUCCUCCGACUUCCCCCUCUCCCGCCCCCCCCCGAGUUGCCCCCUCACUCGCGGGGCGCCUUCGGCAGAUUGUUCCCCUACUCUCUCUCUCUCUCUCCCCCCCCGAAAUCCUUCUCCUUCUCUCACGAAGUUCUGUCUCUUUCCCUCUGUGUGUCUGAGCCAUAAAGGAAAAAAAAUUGUUUUUAGAGUGUUAGAUCGGGGUGAGUAGAGUGAAUUCAAGUGUGAUUAUUUGGAGAGAAAUUAUCUACUCAACGGGGGCUUCAUAACUAGCCACUAAUAUCAUAGAUCUGAGUAUUUUGGAUUCAUCUCAUCUCUUCUUUUGGAGCUGCUUGUA
rnacentral:lncRNA from 1 species